UACGUAGGAUCCAAGCGUUGUCCGGAUUUACUGGGUGUAAAGGGUGCGCAGGCGGACUUGUAAGUCAGGGGUGAAAUCUCACAGCUUAACUGUGAAACUGCCUUUGAUACUGCAAGUCUUGGAUCCAGAAGAGAGUUGUGGAAUUCCGAGUGUAGCAGUGAAAUGUGUAGAUAUUCGGAGGAACACCAGUGGCGAAGGCAGCAACUUGGUCUGGUAUCGACGCUCAGGCACGAAAGCAUGGGGAUCAAACAGG
rnacentral:rRNA from 1 species